ACGCUCGACACUACGGGGGGCAGCAGUGGGGAAUAUUGCACAAUGGGGGGAACCCUGAUGCAGCGACGCCGCGUGAGGGAAGAAGGUUUUCGGAUUGUAAACCUCUGUCUUUGGUGACGAUAAUGACGGUAGCCAAAGAGGAAGCUACGGCUAACUACGUGCCGGCAGCCGCGGUAAUCUGAGCGGGCUGGCAAGGC
rnacentral:rRNA from 1 species